rnacentral:rRNA from 1 species
CCUACGGUAGACAGCAGUGAGGAAUAUUGGUCAAUGGACGAGAGUCUGAACCAGCCAAGUAGCGUGAAGGAUGACUUCCCUAUGGGUUGUAAACUUCUUUUAUAUGGGAAUAAAACAGGGUAUGCAUACCCUCUUGUAUGUACCAUUUGAAUCAGGAUCGGCAAACUCCCUGCCAGCAGCCGCGGUAAUACGGAGGAUCCGAGCGGUAUCCGGAUUUGUUGGGUUUAAAGGGAGCGUAGGUGGCUUGGUAAGUCAUGUGUGAAAGUUCGCGGCUCAACCGUAGAAGUGCAGUGGAAACUGGCAGGCUUGAGUGCAGGAGAGGUAAGCGGAAUUCGUAGUGUAGCGGUGAAAUGCGUAGAUAUCACGAAGAACACCGGUGGCGAAGGCAGCUCACUGGACUGCAACUGACACUGAGGCUCGAAAGUGUGGGUAGCAAACAGGAUUAGAUACCCUUGUAGUC